UGGCCGUGCUUGGAGGAGGGCCCUGAGCGGGAGCACAGAGCGGUGGGCAUCAUGACAAGCGCCAGGAGGAGGAUCAGGGUCACCGCUGCUGGCGCCAUUGAUGCCAUUGCAGUUCUUGAUCCAGCUACUUCUUGUGGCUCUCUCUUUCUCUCGUGAAUGAAGAGAGAGAUUGAUGGUGAGUGAAGUGAUGAGCUUGAUCUGGUUUUAGUUUGUUGGAGUGAUGGAUGGAU
rnacentral:lncRNA from 1 species